rnacentral:rRNA from 1 species
CACAGACAACCAGGAUGUUGGCUUAGAAGCAGCCACUCAUUCAAAGAGUGCGUAAUAGCUCACUGGUCGAGUGAUCCUGCGCCGAAGAUUUCCGGGGCUAAAACUUACUACCGAAGCUACGGCAUCAGUAAUGAUGGGUAGGGGAGCUUCCCAUACGGGUUGAAGCAUGACCGUAAGGACAUGUGGACAGUAUGGGAGUGAGAAUGUUGGCAUGAGUAGCGAGAUGUGGGUGAGAAUCCCACAGGCCGUAAACCCAAGGUUGCCAGGGGAAGGUUCGUCCGCCCUGGGUUAGUCGGGACCUAAGCUGAGGCCGAAAGGCGUAGGUGAUGGACAACAGGUUGAUAUUCCUGUACUACCGAUAACCGUUUGAGAGAAGGGAUGACACAGUAGGAUAAGC